rnacentral:lncRNA from 1 species
GACGUCAUUGAGCUGCGACCCUUGUUCAACGCCGUUGGCGAAGCCAGCUGCUGGAGGUGCCGAGAAUCUGAGUUUCGGCAAGCAGCCAGGUCUGGAAACUGAUUUGGAGUGGAUCAGUUACGAGAUGACAAUCUAGAAACUUAUUGGCAAUCAGAUGGUUCCCAGCCUCAUUUAGUGAACAUCCAAUUCAGCAACUUGAGUUGGUGGAACCAAGUGGCUGGAUUCAUGUUCCCUUAACUGACAAUCAUAAGAAGCCAACUCGUACAUUCAUGAUACAGAUUGCUGUUCUAGCCAAUCACCAGAAUGGAAGAGACACCCAUAUGAGACAAAUUAAAAUAUACACACCAGUAGAAGAGAGCUCCAUUGGUAAAUUUCCUAGAUGUACAACUAUAGAUUUCAUGAUGUAUCGUUCAAUAAGGUGACUUUAAAAUGAGACGAAAAUCAUUAAACGUAUCUUUGUUUUAUCCUGUAUUUAAAUAAUAUAUCAUGUACCUUUAUUGAACAAGGCAUCCGUUAUAUCUAAUUUUGUAUAUGUUUAAAAAUAUUUUAUUGUAACUUUGACAAAUAAAUUUGGGGUCAUAUUAUCUUUAUUUUCUUUAACAUGUAAUAAAGCUCACAUAUUUUACAUUACUAAAAAUGGAUUUGAAGCCAAUCAUUUUAUUUUCCCUUGUAUCAAAAGAAAAGAGUUCCUUGUAUCAAAAGAAAAGAGUUGAACUGAAAAUUUCAGUAUAUACACAAUUAUAAUAGCUAGGUGAUUAUUUCAUUAGUGUUCAUACAUUAGAGUAAUGGUUUAUUGCAUAUUUGAGAACAAGACUGUGUUUUAUCAAUAUAUAUCAUCUUUAAUAGGUCAAAAUUACUAUUUUUUCUACCCAGAGGAAGGUUAUUCUUUUAAUACUGGAUCUUUUAAAAAACAGUGUCAAAUAAGCUUAGUGUUAGGUUGUCUGAUGAGAACCAAUCUAAUAUGGGGAGUAUAAUUAAUUGUCUCAUAUUCACCUUCACGGAAUACUUACAGCCCUAGGGUUGUCUGUAUCCUAAUGAUAUUAUGUAAAGAUUGCCUGUAUAAUCUAGCAGUACUUAUGGAAGAGUUCUAGCAGUACUUAUGGAAGAGUUAUUUUCAAAUUUGUGUCUGACAUUGUAGCAUUCCCUGGGCAGUCAUAUAUCCCAUAAAAUCGUAAAAGUAUGUGAAAUUUUUUAUAUAUAUUAAAAGAUUUUAAAGAAAU